rnacentral:rRNA from 1 species
GACGAACCGUGCGAACGUUGUUCGGAUUCACUGGGCUUAAAGGGCGCGUAGGCGGGUGUCCAAGUCUGGGGUGAAAUCCUUCGGCCCAACCGGAGAACAGCCUCGGAUACUGGAUGUCUCGAGGGGGGUAGGGGCACGCGGAACUCCGGUGGAGCGGUGAAAUGCGUAGAUAUCGGAAGGAACGCCGGUGGCGAAAGCGGCGUGCUGGACCCCUUCUGACGCUGAGGCGCGAAAGCCAGGGGAGCGAACGGG